rnacentral:rRNA from 1 species
CUUGGUGUUACUGCGAAGGGGGGACGGAGAAGGCUAUGUUAGCCGGGCGACGGUUGUCCCGGUUUAAGCAUGUAGGCUGAUUAUCCAGGCAAAUCCGGAUAAUCAAGGCUGAGGUGUGAUGACGAGGCACUACGGUGCUGAAGUAACAAAUGCCCUGCUUCCAGGAAAAGCCUCUAAGCAUCAGGUAACAUCAAAUCGUACCCCAAA